rnacentral:lncRNA from 1 species
GAGAUGUCAAAGGUCAUAGUACUUGUGAGGUCAUCGGCUUCUUGCACUUGCUGGUCUUCCUCAGGCAGUAGUGCUUUUACAUCAGCUCCUCUAGAACAUAGACAUGAUGUUGAUAUGACAGAGUCUGCUUCAAGACAACUAACCCAGUUUGCACCUACCUGUAGGUAGUAGCUACUAUAACUAACUGGGGCUUCGGCGUUAAUCUUUUUACUCUUUCUUAUUUCGUGUUUUUGAUUGGAAUGGCAUCAUUACUGACCAAGUUAACGUCUAAAUUGACCAAUAAUGCAAAUGUUUAUGAUUUCUAUGUGUCUUCGUUUUGCAGUAAUUUAAUUCUGCCCGGAUGAGGAUCCUCUAACACUGCCGACGUCACAUUCAGUGUUCCUGAAAACAGCUAGCCCUAGAGGCCAAAAUUGUAAAACCCGACCAAACAAAAUCUCUUAUAUGAAUAUGAAAUAUUCCUCCAAGUUGCCCUUUAACUCACUAUAUAGCAUGAUCUAUAUGGCCUCUAUAACCUAUAUGACCUCUAACCUCUAUGUCCUAUGUAUGGGAAUGAAAAGGUAUUUCACAUUUCCUAGUGCUGCUGCCGGAAGACGAUGCUCACAAGUACAGUGAACUCUGCCCUCCUAGUAAAAUGAUGAUCAGAGUUUGUGAUUGUUUGAGUUAUCCCUCCCAUGAGAAGCCAGGGGAGCCGGUCUUUCCUCAAUGUAAAUCAACAUACAGUUUUCAUCUUUUUGUUUUUUAUAUCUUUUUUUUCUUUAACCUGUGCACUUUUAUUAUAGGAUUAUAACUUUAUAUUAUUAACCUAGGAAAGGUUUAGUGCUAUGGUUUGUGAGUUAUUUAGUCAAGUAUACACAUAUAUGAAUAGGAAUAUAUUUCCUCCUAUAUGUUGUCUCUUUGUAUCAUCCAUAGAGACCAUUUACUCUCCUAAAACCACACCGCAAACCAGAGUCCUACUGUUAAGAUUCUGAGAAUUUAUCCAACUGAAUAAGCAUCCUUGUAUUGUUAUGUCUCAUCAUAUUAUUAUUAUUAUGCUGUUGGUUUGAUUUUAUGUUUGUUCUGCUGCCAUGUUCUAAACAAAAUCCAGGGUGAGCAAAUUCUGGGGUUUUCAUGUAUUUAUUAUUCCUAGGAAUAGUUCAAAGAUAACGCGGAGAAACUUGACGACACUCUGAUUCCAAAAAUGGUAAGAAGUUCUUGGGGGAAGAAAUGGAGUGACAAAAUUAUUUUGGUUUUUCCAGCUUCUUACCAGGGUGUCACACUGAUAAGGGAUCACUGGCUCACAGAAUUCUCUGCAAGUGCAACGAUGAAAUUCCAAAUUGGAAUUGUUUCAUUCUCUCUUUGUUUAUCGUGCCAAAUCUUGGUACAUCAUUUAGGUUUGAAAAGAAUGAAGAAUCAGAAAGAAUGACAAGCCGUACAUCAGUGAGAAAGGUAUCGUUUGGGGCCGUGGCUUUCUGUCCUAGUGCUGCCCAGGAUUUGUUUUGGGUCUGUUUUGUUCUUCGUUCUGACCAGUCGUGCCUUUCAUUGUUUCAAGGGAGAAUCGUAGACUAGUAUUUUUGGUUAGUUUUUUAGGUGAGGAGGUUUGGGUUUAAAACUACUUUGUGAGCUGCAAUAAAUGCGAAGAUGAGCCCUUUUUGCAGGGGUGAGAGGAUAGUUUUCAAAUUAGCUCAAUUCAAUUGAUAUUGUGUUGAAUUCUGCAGGUCAGUGAUCCUAACAGAAAAUUCAGGGGUAUUGAGAAUUUAUAUUAUUUUUUUUAUCAAACUGGGAACCAAAAUAAAUCCCUUUGGCCUCCUAUUGAACAAAAUGUUACAAACACCACUACUGUGUUUUGGGUAGAUCAGUGUUCUAUUGGAAACAUCUAGGUGAUCUCGAACUUUGUUUGGUUAAGGUAAUGUGCUAUCAAUAGUAUUGUUGGAAAAUGUGCAGGGAGUGCAUUUUGUCUUUUGUUUGUCCAAUUUGAGUUUUAUUUUUUAUUCUUGAAUAUUUUUUUUUUUUACAUCUUAUUAAAGCGUUGUGAUUUCAGGAAACAGAAAACAGAUUUUGCAUCAACAAGCUUGAAUUGUGCCAUUAUUGCCAAUGCUUGUUUGUUGAGGCGUAAAAAGUUAUCAAUACGGUUGGGAAGCAAAAACAAAAGAAGAAAAUAAAGUGCAAUUUUAAUGCUGUUUUACAAGGAAAAUAAACGUUUUCUGUUUGCUGGAAGCAAUAGCACUGUGAUAAUACACUAGCUGUGUAAACUUUAUAUUGUCAUAUUGUGUUUCAGUAUUGAUCCAUAUUGAGUUUGAUACCUUUAUAUGAAAUAACGACUUCAUCUGUGUGUUGGUAUGUAUUUGAAUUGUUAUGCAGUUCGGUAUUCUUCUCAAUAAUGUGUAUUAUGAUUAGUGGCAUAUUCAUUACAAUUUAAUAUCAUAUGCAUGUUCAUCAGUCAUGGGAACCUUUACACAGAAUCGAAAACAAACCUAGAACUUUGAAGAUUCUAUUGUAAUACUGCUGAACUAAUCCUAUGAAAGUGUUGUUUUGUUUUCCUAUAGAGAGGUGGUAUGUCUGUGUAAAGGUAGUCAUACUGGCUAAAAUCAAUAAAUGUGAC